GUGCGAAGGGUGCAUAAUCAUUAGUCUCUUAAUUGGAGGCUUGUAUGAAUGGUUGGACAAGAAGCAAACUGUCUCAAACACAAAAAUUGAAUUUGACUUUUAAGUGAAAAGGCUUAAAUAUUUUAAAGGGACGAUAAGACCCUAUAAAGCUUAAUAAUUUAGUAUAUAAUUAGAUGAGUUGAAAGUUUAAUAUUAUUUAUAUACUAAAUUAUUUCGUUGGGGCGACGAUGAUAUAAUUUGUAACUGUUUAAAUUUAAAAUACAGAGAUAUUUGUGUGUAAUGAUCCUUGUUGUUGAUUAAAAAUUUAAGUUACUUUAGGGAUAACAGCGUUAUUUAUUUUGAGAGUUCAUAUCGACAAAAAAGUUUGCGACCCCGAUGUGCAAUUAAGG
rnacentral:rRNA from 1 species